rnacentral:rRNA from 1 species
UGGUUCAGGCAUGCAAGUCGAACGAUCUCGCAAGAGAUAGUGGCAGAAGGGUUAGUAACACGUGGGCAAUCUACCCUCGAGUCGGGGAUAACUUCGCGAAAGCGAGGCUAAUACCCGAUAACAUCGCGAUCCGGCAUCGGAUUGCGAUCAAAGGUGGCGCAAGCUGCCGAUUGAGGAGGAGCCCGCGGCCUAUCAGCUAGUUGGUGAGGUAACGGCCCACCAAGGCUUUUGACGGGUAGCUGGUCUAAGAGGACGAUCAGCAACAUUGGGACUGAGACACUGCCCAGACUCCUACGGGAGGCUGCAGUCGAGGAUCUUUAGCAAUGCCCGAAAGGGUGACUAUGCGACGCCGCGUGCAGGAUGAAGGCCUUCGGGUCGUAAACUGC